UCCCAAAAAUAUUUAAGUUAGAUGAUCAGCCUGAUUCUGAUGGAGCAUUUUUUCCUUCACAUCUGACCGCUUGAUUUCAAUCCAACGGGCUGCAUGAGACAAGCACACAAACCGACGACCUUUAUAUAUCCACACUAGGUUCCGAGCAAUCCUCUUGCGCGCGGACUCCGUUUCCUUCUCUAAGCUGCGCCGAUCGCUGCUAUGUCAUCAGAGCAGAGGCUUUUUAAUUCGUUGCAAGUCAUCAGGGUUCAGAAGCUAGUGCUCAACAUAUCGGUGGGUGAGAGUGGAGGUCGCCUCAAGAGAGCUUUCAAGGUGUUGGAGCAAUUAAGUGGGCAAACUCCUGUGUUCUCCAAAGGCACUUGAAAAUUAUUAGUCUGGCAUGUCAGGGGAAUUUCAAUUUGUCUUUCAAUUUGGGGGCAUAUGUAUACAAAUCUCGAAAUUCUGAUGUAUGUACAUAUCUCACACCUAUACUUCCAUAUUUACGCACAUAGCACUAAAAUUUUUAAUAUCACAUAAAAAAUAACACUAUUUCACUUUUUAAAUGUGAAAUACAUCUCUCAUGCACAAGUUUAAGGCACCAAAGUGCCAUGUAAAUAUGAAUUUUUUUUGGUGUGAGAUAUGUAAAUACAUAAGAAUUGUGUGCUACGUUUGUAAAUUUCCCUUAAAUUUGUUGCCUUUUCCAGCCAGGGUACACUGUCUGAUAUUUUUGAAUUUGGCGUAAUGAAAAGAUUGCUUUUGCAAUGUCACUGUUAGAGGAGAAAAGGUGAGGCAACUUCUCAAAAGUGUUUUGAUGGUUAAGGAGUAUGAGCUUCUAAAAAGGAACUUAAGUGACACUGGAUGUUUUGGAUUUGGUAUUCAGGGGCAUAUUGAUCUUGUUUGUGACUUGGCCACUUGUAUGAUCCUCAAUUGGAAUCUAUGGCAUGGACUUGUAUGUUGUUCUCGAGCGUCCUGUUUACCGAGUGAGCCGGCACCGUUGUUGCAAAUCUCGUGUUGACGUUCAGCAUCGAGUCACGAAGGAUGAUGUCAUGAAAUGGUUCUAGGACAAAUAUGAAGGUGUCAUCCUCAACAAAUCUCAGGAUAUUGUUGCUUAUGGGAGAUGUCAUCCUCAGCAAAUGUCAGGCUAUUGUUCCUUACGAGAAAUGUCAUCCUUUUCUUUCUUUGUUUUUUAGAUGCAUUUACAUACAUACCACAGAAUUAUUAUGUAUUUGCAUGUAUAACACUUAAUCAUUCAUAUUUACAAGUCAGCAUGCAUACUACUCUCCAA